AAGCGGCAACAGCUCAAAUUUGAAAUCUGGCCCCGUCGGGGUCCGAGUUGUAAUUUGUAGAGAGUGUUUCGGGUGAGACCACGGUCUAAGUCUAUUGGAACAUGGCGUCAUAGAGGGUGAGAAUCCCGUAUGUGACCGUGGCUCGAGCCCAUGUGAAGCCUCUUCGACGAGUCGAGUUGUUUGGGAAUGCAGCUCAAAAUGGGUGGUAAAUUUCAUCUAAAGCUAAAUACUGGCUGGAGACCGAUAGCGCACAAGUAGAGUGAUCGAAAGAUGAAAAGCACUUUGGAAAGAGAGUCAAAAAGUACGUGAAAUUGUUGAAAGGGAAGCGCUUGCAACCAGACCUGUCCGUAGGUGAUCAACCGCUGUUCUCAGUGGUGCACUCGCUCUGCGAUCAGGCCAGCAUCGGUUCCGGCGGUCGGAUAAAGGCCUUGGGAAUGUAGCUGCCUUCGGGGAGUCUUAUAGCCCUCGGUGCAAUGCGGCCAGCCGGGACCGAGGACCGCGCUUCGGCUAGGAUGCUGGCGUAAUGGCUGUAAGCGACCCGUCUUGAAACACGGACCAAGGAGUCUAACAUCUAUGCGAGUGUUUGGGUGUUAAACCCAUGCGCGGAAUGAAAGUGAACGGAGGUGAGAACCCUUUAGGGCGCAUCAUCGACCGAUCCAGAUGUCUUCGGAUGGAUUUGAGUAUGAGCAUAGCUGUUGGGACCCGAAAGAUGGUGAACUAUGCCUGAAUAGGGUGAAGCCAGAGGAAACUCUGGUGGAGGCUCGCAGCGGUUCUGACGUGCAAAUCGAUCGUCAAAUUUGGGUAUAGGGGUACGUGUUCUAUUCGAGAUGAUGAGAUGAGAUUUAAUGCUAAUUUUUUGAUAUAGGCGAAAGACUAAUCGAACCAUCCCUUUAAUACGCUAUAGGUGGUUAAUCAAAGUAUCUUGUUUCUCAAAUACUUUCAGUCCUUCGGGGCGACAUCACUACUUGCAUGAACAAACCUUUAGGUUGACAUGCUGCAGUUCUUCCCACUCGUGUGGGGCCUGUUCACAGACCAAAUAGUGGUGGCCGGGCUAUUUCUUUUAUGAAUGCUCGGUUUAGAAAUGGCCGAGUCCUAC
rnacentral:rRNA from 1 species